rnacentral:rRNA from 1 species
CCUACGGGAGGCAGCAGUGAGGAAUAUUGGUCAAUGGGCUUACGCCUGAACCAGCCAAGUCGCGUGAGGGAAGACUGCCCUAUGGGUUGUAAACCUCUUUUGUCAGGGAGCAACGCCGGCUACGUGUAGCCGGACUGAGAGUACCUGAAGAAAAAGCAUCGGCUAACUCCGUGCAAGCAGCCGCGGUAAUACGGAGGAUGCGAGCGUUAUCCGGAUUUAUUGGGUUUAAAGGGUGCGUAGGCGGAAUGCCAAGUCAGCGGUAAAAUCGCGGGGCUCAACCUCGCUCCGCCGUUGAAACUGGCGUUCUUGAGUGGGCGAGAAGUAUGCGGAAUGCGGGGUGUAGCGGUGAAAUGCAUAGAUAUCACGCAGAACUCCGAUUGCGAAGGCAGCAUACCGGCGCCCAACUGACGCUGAAGCACGAAAGCGUGGGUAUCGAACAGGAUUAGAUACCCCAGUAGUC